rnacentral:lncRNA from 1 species
GCUGAUUGCAACUUGACCAUGUGCCUGGAUGGUCCCAUCAGUGAGAAGAGCAGAACAUGGAUUAAAGAAAUCUAGGAUGUACCGUUAGGGCUACUGCUGUGCUGGACCUGGGAGAACUGUCUGGCAAAUACCGACAGUAUAUGGCCGGACUUCUGGCUCCUCCCUAUGGUGUUAUGGAAACGGGCUCUAACAAUGACAGGAUUCCGGACAAGGAGAAUGUCCCUUCAGAGAAGAUCCUCAGAGCUGGAAAAAUUUUGCGAAUUGCCAUUCUCUCUCGAGCACCCCACAUGAUAAGAGACAGAAAAUACCACCUAAAGACAUACAGACAAUGCUGUGUUGGGACUGAGCUGGUAGACUGGAUGAUACAGCAGACGUCCUGUGUUCACUCCCGGACUCAAGCUGUUGGCAUGUGGCAAGUCUUGCUGGAAGAUGGCGUCCUCAACCACG